ACUCGAGUGGCGAACGGGUGAGUAACACGUGGGUGAUCUACCCUGCACUUCGGGAUAAGCUUGGGAAACUGGGUCUAAUACCGGAUAGGAGCCAUCUUUAGUGUGGUGGUUGGAAAGUUUUUUCGGUGUAGGAUGAGCUCGCGGCCUAUCAGCUUGUUGGUGGGGUAAUGGCCUACCAAGGCGGCGACGGGUAGCCGGCCUGAGAGGGUGUACGGCCACAUUGGGACUGAGAUACGGCCCAG
rnacentral:rRNA from 1 species